rnacentral:rRNA from 1 species
GACGAACGCUGGCGGCGUGCUUAACACAUGCCAGUCGAACGGAAAGGCCCUGCUUUUGUGGGGUGCUCGAGUGGCGAACGGGUGAGUAACACGUGAGUAACCUGCCCUUGACUUUGGGAUAACUUCAGGAAACUGGGGCUAAUACCGGAUAGGAGCUCCUGCUGCAUGGUGGGGGUUGGAAAGUUUCGGCGGUUGGGGAUGGACUCGCGGCUUAUCAGCUUGUUGGUGGGGUAGUGGCUUACCAAGGCUUUGACGGGUAGCCGGCCUGAGAGGGUGACCGGCCACAUUGGGACUGAGAUACGGCCCAGACUCCUACGGGAGGCAGCAGUGGGGAAUAUUGCACAAUGGGCGGACGCCGGAUGCAGCAACGCCGCGUGCGGGAUGACGGCCUUCGGGUUGUAAACCGCUUUCGCCUGUGACGAAGCGUGAGUGACGGUAAUGGGUAAAGAAGCACCGGCUAACUACGUG